GGGAAACUAGAAUCCUGCUAUAGAUUUGGCCAGCUUUAGCGGCGUCAUCUGGCCGCUGGAAUUUGAUUGAGGGCGUCUAGAGGAAUUUUCGGUCAGUUUGACCACACCAGAUGUGUUAAUAUCUUGUACUGUCCUGGUGCUAAACGGCACGCAAGGCGUUCCUGUUGGGGCGCCCGGUUCACUAUCUGUCAGAUGGAUUGUUCGUUUUAUCAGAUUGCAGUGAACCAGUAGAUUUAAUUAAAUAAAUGCGCAAGUAGGAUUCUCUUUGUCAAACUAUGUCAUUUUCUUGAUGACAUAAACAAAAGAAAGGUGUGAAGCACUGCUUUGCUCUUAUAGCAGACUGAUGGUGCUAACAGAAAGCCUUGCUGUUUUUGGUACAAGAUCACAUCAAGGGGUGUAUUGAUUUAUCAGUUGUACCUGGAAUGCAUGCGAAUAUAAGUUAUAAUUCUAUUGGUGUGCACAGCUGCAGUCAGAAACAAAUAAAAGACUCUGGCCCAAGAAAGGAACGAGAAGAUUCAGUGAAAAUUACACUGAAUGGACAGUGUCAAGAAGAUUAUACAAAAUAAAACUGUGAUGAAAGAAACUGAACGGGGUACUUACCAGCCACGUCAGUUCGGAUGGUUUUGAAAACCAUUGAGCCAAAGGCAUACAUAUAAAGAUAUCAUAAACAUAAAUUUUGAAAUGGCUAGUAAUUCAGGCUUCCAGCAAAACCCAUGGUCAGUUUGUGUUUAGUAUGGUCAGAUUCUUUUUUAUGUUAACUUCAGUUCAAGCUUCUGUGCGCCUAGGUUCACUAUCUGCUGCUUGUAGGAUACUUACUCCAUGGCUGAUAAUAUCAGCAUGAUGGAUAAAUCUUUUGUUUCACCCUGUCAUUUGUUCUCAAGAGGCCAAGUGGUUUUCUGCAAAAAGCAUCUAGAAGUAUUGUAAAUUCACAAGAAAUAACAAAAUUGUUUAAAGUUUAUUUGGGUUGGAUCUAUAUAUACACUAUUUUCUUAAAACACAAACCUGUACAUUCACAGCUGAAUAGAUGAUACAUUUUUUGAUCUGUACAUGCAAUUUUUUGCACUGGAUUGGUGGUUAGUUUUAUGUACCGUUUGAAUUAUAACAGAAUAGCAUUAGUAGUGCUCUGAUUUAGUUGUCAUCAAAAUCAACAGCCCUCUGUUGUGUUCCUGUUAUGAGAAUUGUUCCUUCAAGGAUAUGCCAGAAUGACAUAUGUGUUCAAUCUUCAAUGUGAACAAUUUCUGUUUUCCUCUUAGUUUUGGCCCCUAAAUAUUUUUCUUGAAGCUCCACUGCCGCAUCUUGUUCCUGGUAAAAAUAUGAAGGAAUCCCUUUUAACUUGUUCCUGUUCACAUACACAUGUUCAUGAGCACACAUUGACAUGGCCAAGCCUCAUGUGCACAUGGUGAGUGAGCUUCAGAAUUGAAUUUUGUUUUUGCUGGGUCAGCUCAACCCAAAAGAACUGUGUCACACACAUUUUUUUCAAAUAAACUGAAGCAUUCUUUUUUUUCAUUUCAUUUCAUCAUGUGUGUGCCAGAUGCUUUUACUUCUGCAAUGCGAAUGAGCUAAUGACGAACUACUCUAAUUUAAAUGAGUUGGGAUCCAUCACUACAAUAUGAGUGUCUUUGCAUUUUACUUAGCUUGUAAUCGAUAACCCAGUCCUUAACUAAAUAUUUGAUUACAUCAUGAGGUUUUCUACAAAUUAGUAGGGUAGUGGUUUCAGCUGCUGCAUUGUUGCUUAUAUUUGAUACUACACAAUGUGACCGGAGUUUAUUGUGAUUUAUAGAAGAUAGAAUCUGGAUGCAAUUGCUUUGAUAUUCCUGUUUGGCCCCCAGUCAUGCUCAUGAAGUACAAUGAGGUGUCCUCAUCUGACUAUUUCGCUAAUGGGUAAGCCUCACUGCCAAUCUUUCAGGUAGUAGUAGUACAGUGUCGCUAUCAUCUCUGUUUGUAUAUAAGUAUGCCACUGUUGAGGUUUAGCAAUCUCUGUUAUGGUGUUGAUCUGAAUGAUGCUUUUCUGUAUGUGAUAGCGAACUGGCUACCCUCGUGUAGUUGAGCAAUUAGUAUCCAUACAUGCCCAGUGCAUGCCUAAAUCCUGAGUUUUAUUUUUAAACACCUCUCCAUAUAUGUGGAGUGCCUAUUGUAAUUGUCAAGUGUGAAUUCUGUAUAUGAGGUGUGUUCUCCUUGUAGUAAUUUCUAGUAGCCUGCUUGUUAUGUGUAGAGUGCACAACACAUUACAUGUAUUGAGGAUGAAAUGGUCAGAGUAUGGCAUUUUCAAUUGAACUUACUUUUUUGGUGCUGAGCUGUCGAUAAAUUGGUGUUGGUACCAUGAUGCUUGAACUGUUAUUUUCUUUUGGUAAAUGAACUACUGCUUUGGUGCAUAGAUGUAUCUUCAUGAGUCACAACACUCCUGACAUGUAGGCGACUGGAGCGCACCAGAAGCAUUGACGGUGACUCAGUCCUCGGCGCCGCCCUCUGCUAGAGCGGUGCGUCCCCUCUCUAUUCUCCCAGCCACCCCUAAGUUUUGGAUUUGGAUCGUUUCUGUGAACUCUAGUCAUGCUCACUUGUAAAUCUGUUUUGAUGUUUAAACCGUGACUUAUGAUAAUCUGGUUUCACCGCCUUCCAGGGACAACAUAUAUACGCUCAAUACACUCUACUUGUUUUCCUGUAUAGUUUUCUUACUUGUUUUCCUUUAUGCGUUCACUCUUUUUCAGGAGCUCCAAGCCUAAUUUUUUUCCUUUAUGUUCACUCUUUUACAGGAGCUCCAGUCCUAAUUUUUCUGAGUGUGAAGCCAUGAAGCCAAGUGCGAAGCAGUGAAUGCUGGAGAGAGAUGAUGCUGGAGAGAUGCCCUUCCUGUAGGUUUGCACAUAAGCGGAAGUUCCUGGGUAUGCAAGAUUUGAUGGUUAAACUGGUUGAUGUGAUGUGAAUGAGUGUAUGGAAACUGGUUGUUGUGAUGUGAAUGAGUGUAUGUAGUUUCACAUGUUCUGUUUUGUAUAGCAUAUUGUAAUAAACUUAUUUUAGCUAUUAUUUGAAGAUUUUCAUAUGCUUUCUCUCUUCUGUCUGUUUGAAAUAUACAUAUAUAUUGCUUAUUAAUAAGCUGUGAAAAAUCUGACAUUUGGG
rnacentral:lncRNA from 1 species